rnacentral:SRP_RNA from 1 species
GCACUAGUCGGGGAGCCAGCGGUGCCCUGUAGCCUGCAAUCCGCUGCAGCAGGGAUGAAUCCCCGUAUUAGGGUUUGCGAUGUGCCGUCUGACGGCAGCAAGCGGCGAUGAUGGUCUGGUCUCGCGCAACAUGGCCCCGUGAAUCAUGUCAGGCGGGGAACCUAGCAGCAUUAAGCGGACCGCUGUGUGUGCCGUGAGGGUGCCGGACCUGAGCAGGCUGCUGCUGUGCCGGGCA